GAUGAACGCUGGCGGCGUGCCUAAUACAUGCAAGUCGAGCGAACAGAUGAGGAGCUUGCUCCUCUGACGUUAGCGGCGGACGGGUGAGUAACACGUGGAUAACCUACCUAUAAGACUGGGAUAACUUCGGGAAACCGGAGAUAAUACCGGAUAAUAUCUUGAACCGCAUGGUUCAAUAGUGAAAGACGGUUUUGCUGUCACUUAUAGCUGGAUCCGCGCCGCAUUAGCUAGUUGGUAAGGUAACGGCUUACCAAGGCAACGAUGCGUAGCCGACCGGAGAGGGUGAUCGGCCACACUGGAGCGGAGACACGGUCCAGACUCCUACGGGAGGCAGCAGUAGGGAAUCUUCCGCAAUGGGCGAAAGCCUGACGGAGCAAGGCCGCGUGAGUGAUGGAGGUCUUCGGAUCGUAAAACUCUGUUAUUAGGGAAGAACAAAUGUGUAAGUAACUAUGCACGUCUUGACGGUACCUAAUCAGAAAGCCACGGCUAACUACGUG
rnacentral:rRNA from 1 species